rnacentral:rRNA from 1 species
UGGGGGAUAUUGCACAAUGGAGGAAACUCUGAUGCAGCGACGCCGCGUGAGUGAAGAAGGCCUUCGGGUCGUAAAGCUCUGUCCUAGGGGAAGAUAAUGACGGUACCCUAGGAGGAAGCCCCGGCUAACUACGUGCCAGCAGCCGCGGUAAUACGUAGGGGGCGAGCGUUGUCCGGAAUUACUGGGCGUAAAGAGUUCGUAGGCGGUCUGAUAAGUCAGAUGUGAAAGGCGUAGGCUUAACCUAUGUAAGCAUAUGAAACUGUCAGACUUGAGGUAAGGAGAGGAAAGUGGAAUUCCUAGUGUAGCGGUGAAAUGCGUAGAUAUUAGGAGGAAUACCAGUGGCGAAGGCGACUUUCUGGACUUAAACUGACGCUGAGGAACGAAAGCGUGGGGAGCAAACA